rnacentral:rRNA from 1 species
GAUGAACGCUGGCGGCGUGCCUAACACAUGCAAGUCGAGCGGCAGCGAGGGGUGCUUGCACCCUGUCGGCGAGCGGCGGACGGCUGAGUAACGCGUGGGAACGUGCCCCAAAGUGAGGAAUAACUGCCCGAAAGGGUAGCUAAUACCGCAUAUUAUCUUCGGAUCAAAGGAUUUAUCCGCUUUGGGAGCGGCUCGCGUCGGAUUAGGUAGUUGGUGAGGUAAUGGCUCACCAAGCCGACGAUCCGUAGCUGGUCUGAGAGGAUGACCAGCCAGACUGGAACUGAGACACGGUCCAGACUCCUACGGGAGGCAGCAGUGAGGAAUCUUCCACAAUGGGCGAAAGCCUGAUGGAGCAACGCCGCGUGCAGGACGAAGGCCUUCGGGUUGUAAACUGCUUUUAUAAGUGAGGAAUAAGACGGUAACUUAGGAAUAAGGAUCGGCUAACUACGU